GGGCGGAUAGCUCAACUGGUUAGAGCAUCAAGCUUAUACCUUGAAGGUUCAUGGUUCGAGUCCAUGUCCGCCCACCA
rnacentral:tRNA from 3 species